rnacentral:rRNA from 1 species
GGGAUUGCCUCAGUAACGGCGAGUGAAGCGGCAAAAGCUCAAAUUUGGAAUCGCGCAAGCGAGUUGUAAAUUGAAGAGCGUCUCUUGCGUCCGGGUCUUGUCGAAGUUCCUUGGAACAGGACGUCGCAGAGGGUGAGAAUCCCGUGCGAUGAGGCCUUGGGCGUGUGUAGAGGCGACUCGACGAGUCGAGUUGUUUGGGAAUGCAGCUCCAAGUGGGUGGUAAAUUCCAUCUAAAGCUAAAUACAGGCGAGAGACCGAUAGCGAACAAGUACAGUGAUGGAAAGAUGAAAAGAACUUUGAAAAGAGAGUGAAAAAGUACGUGAAAUUGUUGAAAGGGAAGGGCUUGGGAUCAGACUGCGCAAGCGGCCAGCAUGAGGUGCUGCGGCGAGACAAGACGGCAGGAAGGUGGCCCGGCUGCGGCCGGGUGUUAUAGCCUGCCGGGAUGUCGCCAGCGGCGCCUGAGGAGUGCGCAUUCGCAAGGAUGCUGGCAUAAUGAUCCCCAGCCG